rnacentral:rRNA from 1 species
CUGCCGGACCCCACUGCUAUCGGGAUAGGACUAAGACAUGCUAGUUGAGCGCUUCCAGCCAAAACGGGAGCGCAGCGCACAGCUCAGUAACACGUGGCUAAUCUGCCCUUGGGACCGGAACACCCCCGGGAAACUGGGGCUAAUUCUCGAUAGGUGAAGAACUCUGGAAUGAGUCUUUGCCAAAAAGACGUUUACGUUAUGCUCGUAGGCGUCGCCCAAGGAUGAGGCCGCGACCGAUCAGGUUGUUGGUGAGGUAAUGGCUCACCAAGCCUUUUACCGGUGCGGGCCGUGAGAGCGGGAGCCCGGAGAUGGGCACUGAGACAAGGGCCCAGGCCCUACGGGGCGCAGCAGUCGCGAAAACUUUGCAAUACACGAAAGUGUGACAGGGCUAUCCCGAGUGCCAUCCGCUGAGGAAGGCUUUUACCCAGUCUAGAAUGCUGGGGGAAUAAGGAGAGGGCAAGUCUGGUGUCAGCCGCCGCGGUAAUACCAGCUCUCCGAGUGGUGUGGAUGUUUAUUGGGCCUAAAGCAUCCGUAGCUGGCUGAGUUAGUCCCUUGUUAAAUCCACCGAAUUAAUCGUUGGAUUGCGGGGGAUACUGCUCGGCUAGGGGACGAGAGAGGCAGACGGUAUUUCUGGGGUAGGGGUGAAAUCCUAUAAUCCCAGGAGGACCACCAGUGGCGAAAGCUGUCUGCUAGAACGCGCCCGACGGUGAGGGAUGAAAGCUGGGGGAGCGAACCGGGAUUAGAUACCCGGGUAGUCCCAGCUGUAAACGAUGCA